rnacentral:rRNA from 1 species
ACUGAAUAGCUAGCCUAAGCAUUUGAAUAACACCACAAUAUACAUACCCCCACACAACCUACACUAAACUAAACAAACCAUUUUUCCCCCCUAGUAUGGGCGACAGAAAAGGGACCCUGAGCAAUAGAGAAAGUACCGCAAGGGAAGGCUGAAAAAGAAGUGAAACAACCCGUCAAAGCCUAAAAAAGCAGAGAUUAACCCUUGUACCUUUUGCAUCAUGAUCUAGCCAGCAGACCCAAGCAAAGAGAUCUUUAGUUACGGCCCCCGAAACUAGACGAGCUACUCCGAGACAGCCUAUCCAGGGCCAACCCGUCUCUGUGGCAAAAGAGUGGGAAGAGCUCCGAGUAGAGGUGACAAACCUACCGAGUUUAGUUAUAGCUGGUUGCUUAAAAAAUGAAUAGAAGUUCAGCCCCCUGGCUCCUCCAGCCCCUAAAGUACAACCGGCACCGGCAUCAAGGAAACCAGUGGAGUUAGUCAAAAGAGGUACAGCUCUUUUGAAAAAGGACACAACCUUAAUAGGCGGUUAAGGAUCAUAAUAACUAAGGUACUCUGCUUCAGUGGGCCUAAGAGCAGCCACCUGUGUAGAAAGCGUUAAAGCUCAGGCAGACCCUAAACCCCUUAUUCUGAUAAAAACUCCAACCCCCUUGACUUAUUAAGCCACCCCAUGCCCCCCCCCCCCCUGGGAGCGACUAUGCUAGAAUGAGUAAUAAGAGGGAACAACCCUCUCCCAGCACAUGUGUAAGUCGGACCGGACCCCCCGCCGACAAAUAACGAACCCAACAAAAGAGGGAAAUACAAACCAAAAAAACUACUAGAAAAACAAGUAUAACACAAUCGUUAACCCUACACAGGAGUGCCCCCAGGGAAAGACCUAAAGGAGAAGAAGGAACUCGGCAAACCCAAGCCUCGCCUGUUUACCAAAAACAUCGCCUCUUGCAAAAUUAAAGCAUAAGAGGUCCCGCCUGCCCUGUGACCCUGGGUUUAACGGCCGCGGUAUUUUGACCGUGCGAAGGUAGCGCAAUCACUUGUCUUUUAAAUGGAGACCUGUAUGAAUGGCACGACGAGGGCUUAACUGUCUCCCUCUCCUGGUCAAUGAAAUUGAUCUCCCCGUGCAGAAGCGGGGAUAUUUUCAUAAGACGAGAAGACCCUAUGGAGCUUUAGACAAAAGGCAGACCACGUUUAACCUCCCCCAUCACGGGGCCAAACACAAUGUUCCCUAGCCCGAAUGUCUUUGGUUGGGGCGACCGCGGGGGAAAACAAAGCCCCCAUGUGGACUGGGGAAACCCUUCCCUAGGGCCAUGAGCUACAGCUCUUAGCAACAGAAUUUCUGACCAAAAAUGAUCCGGUGAACACCGAUCAACGGACCAAGUUACCCUAGGGAUAACAGCGCAAUCCCCUCCCAGAGUCCCUAUCGACAAGGGGGUUUACGACCUCGAUGUUGGAUCAGGACAUCCUAAUGGUGCAGCCGCUGUUAAGGGUUCGUUUGUUCAACGAUUAAAGUCCUACGUGAUCUGAGUUCAGACCGGAGUAAUCCAGGUCAGUUUCUAUCUAUGACGUAACUUUCCCUAGUACGAAAGGACCGGGAAGGGGGGGCCCAUACUUAAAGCAUGCCUCACCCCCACCUGAUGAAAACAACUAAAACAGAAAAGGGGGCACGCCCAAAAAAGCCCAAGAGAAUGGCGC